UGGGGAAUAUUGGACAAUGGGCGCAAGCCUGAUCCAGCCAUGCCGCGUGAGUGACGAAGGCCUUAGGGUUGUAAAGCUCUUUUGGCGGGGAAGAUAAUGACGGUACCCGCAGAAUAAGCUCCGGCUAACUUCGUGCCAGCAGCCGCGGUAAUACGAAGGGAGCUAGCGUUGUUCGGAAUUACUGGGCGUAAAGCGCACGUAGGCGGAUUGAUAAGUUAGAGGUGAAAUCUCGGGGCUCAACCUCGGAACUGCCUUUGAUACUGUUAGUCUCGAGUCCGAUAGAGGUGAGUGGAAUUCCUAGUGUAGAGGUGAAAUUCGUAGAUAUUAGGAAGAACACCAGUGGCGAAGGCGGCUCACUGGAUCGGUACUGACGCUGAGGUGCGAAAGCGUGGGGAGCAAACAGGAUUAGAUACCCUAGUAGUCCCUGAGCGGGCUGGCAAGGCGCAU
rnacentral:rRNA from 1 species